rnacentral:rRNA from 1 species
CCUACGGGAGGCAGCAGGGAGGAAUAUGGGGCAAUGGACGCAAGUCGGAACCAGCCAGGCCGCGUGCAGGAAGACGGCUCGAUGAGGUGUAAACUGCUGUUGUACGAGGGUAAACGCAGAUACGCGUAUCUGUCUGAAAGUAUCGUACGAAUAAGGAUCGGCUAACUCCGUGCCAGCAGCCGCGGUAAUACGGAGGAGUCAAGCGUUAUCCGGAUUUAUUGGGUUUAAAGGGUGCGUAGGCGGUCGGAUAAGGUAGAGGUGAAAUCCCGCGGCUCAACUUCGGAAUUGCCUCUGAUACUGUUCGGCUCGAGCGUAGUUGCGGUAGGCGGAAUGUCUGGUGUAGCGGUUACAUGCUU